GCUGUUAAGAAUGACAAUCAGCAUUUUCCUAUAAAGUCUCUGUAUUGUGUUCAGCCAUCUGCAAAACUCUUGCAUUAGUAACUUUUUUGCUUUGCAUAUCAGUGAUAUGUCACACAGAAGCUCCUAGCCCAUAAAAUGUUACAUUGAAUCACAUUUGCUAUAUUAAGAGAGUAACAGUAACAUCUAACAAUAACAUCUGUCUGAAAGUUAUAUUGUUGGAGUAUUAUUCUUUUUCUAACUAAUGCUAGAAUUUACAUAUUUGACGCUGCAUAUUCCCAUGACAGUUUAAAUUCUUCUUGUCCUGUAUGUUAUCAUAGAAUUAGUUCUCACUUAAACAUCCAUGAAUUUUAGAAGACAGCUUGGUCAUGUUUGUUACUACGUCAUGAUAUCAUAACAAAGGCCAUGUGCUAAGGAUUUACAAUAAAACCGUACCAUAAUAAAUACUGAAUAAUUAGCAUUACUGUCUUAUUACUUUCAGAAACAUUACAAGCACGCAACAACAUUUUGCCCUUCAAGCUGAACAAAGUAUUAUUUUAAACUAAUUCACGCAUAUUUCAUAUUCAACGAUGGGGAAUCAUUCCCCUUUAAUAAGAAAGUGAUCAAUAAAGACAUAUAGUGAACCUGACUGAAGUAGGACUCCAAACGCAGAGCUUUAAGUUGAAAUAAGAAAGGUAGAGCUCUACGGAACGAAGUGAUGGGAAACCGCCUUUUACGGAAAAUGUGGAUGGGGUGUGAGUUUGCCUGUGGUAUGGAGGGGGGGCAUCUUUACGCCUCGCCUCUCCUGCCUCGGUGGGCGCGUGCGCCUGGGUGGCGAACUAGAGAGGAAGUGAAUAAAUAACAGGAGGUGAGCCCAGACAGAGAAGAGAGGCAUGGCCUUGUCUAGCGCGGCUAUGCUGGCUAUUAAGAGAAGAUGGUACCUUAUAAGGGGUUUUCCAUUUGUUCAAAGUCUCUAAUGCAGAAUUCUGUCUCCACCUGUGAGCUGAAAUACUNUAGAAAGGUGAUUAGAACCCAAUCAGAGGAUAGNCCACAAAAUGGGCUGCAGUGUGGAAACUGGAGAGAUGUGGUUUAAGCAUCUU
rnacentral:lncRNA from 1 species